rnacentral:rRNA from 1 species
GAUUGAACGCUGGCGGAAUGCUUUACACAUGCAAGUCGAACGGCAGCACGGGAGCUUGCUCCUGGUGGCGAGUGGCGAACGGGUGAGUAAUGCGUCGGAACGUACCGAGUAAUGGGGGAUAACGCAGCGAAAGUUGUGCUAAUACCGCAUACGCCCUCCGGGGGAAAGCAGGGGAUCUUCGGACCUUGCGUUAUUCGAGCGGCCGACGUCUGAUUAGCUAGUUGGUGGGGUAAAGGCCUACCAAGGCGACGAUCAGUAGCGGGUCUGAGAGGAUGAUCCGCCACACUGGAACUGAGACACGGUCCAGACUCCUACGGGAGGCAGCAGUGGGGAAUUUUGGACAAUGGGGGCAACCCUGAUCCAGCCAUUCCGCGUGAGUGAAGAAGGCCUUCGGGUUGUAAAGCUCUUUCAGCAGGAACGAAACGGUACGCUCUAACAUAGCGUGCUAAUGACGGUACCUGCAGAAGAAGCACCGGCUAACUACGUGCCAGCAGCCGCGGUAAUACGUAGGGUGCGAGCGUUAAUCGGAAUUACUGGGCGUAAAGCGUGCGCAGGCGGACUGUUAAGCAAGAUGUGAAAUCCCCGGGCUUAACCUGGGAAUGGCAUUUUGAACUGGCAGUCUAGAGUGUGUCAGAGGGGGGUAGAAUUCCACGUGUAGCAGUGAAAUGCGUAGAGAUGUGGAGGAAUACCGAUGGCGAAGGCAGCCCCCUGGGAUAACACUGANNNNCAUGUACGAAAGCGUGGGUAGCAAACAGGAUNNNNNNCCCUGGUAGUCCACGCCNNNAACGAUGUCAACUGGUUGUUGGGGGAGUGAAAUCCCUUAGUAACGAAGCUAACGCGUGAAGUUGACCGCCUGGGGAGUACGGUCGCAAGAUUAAAACUCAAAGGAAUUGACGGGGACCCGCACAAGCGGUGGAUGAUGUGGAUUAAUUCGAUGCAACGCGAAAAACCUUACCUACCCUUGACAUGUCCAGAAUCCUGCAGAGAUGCGGGAGUGCCCGAAAGGGAAUUGGAACACAGGUGCUGCAUGGCUGUCGUCAGCUCGUGUCGUGAGAUGUUGGGUUAAGUCCCGCAACGAGCGCAACCCUUAUCAUUAGUUGCUACGCAAGGGCACUCUAAUGAGACUGCCGGUGACAAACCGGAGGAAGGUGGGGAUGACGUCAAGUCCUCAUGGCCCUUAUGGGUAGGGCUUCACACGUCAUACAAUGGUCGGUACAGAGGGUUGCCAAGCCGCGAGGUGGAGCCAAUCCCAGAAAGCCGAUCGUAGUCCGGAUUGUUCUCUGCAACUCGAGAGCAUGAAGUCGGAAUCGCUAGUAAUCGCGGAUCAGCAUGUCGCGGUGAAUACGUUCCCGGGUC